rnacentral:rRNA from 1 species
GACGAACGCUGGCGGCGUGCUUAACACAUGCAAGUCGAACGGAAAGGCCCUGCUUUUGUGGGGUGCUCGAGUGGCGAACGGGUGAGUAACACGUGAGUCACCUGCCCUUGACUUUGGGAUAACUUCAGGAAACUGCGGCUAAUACCGGAUAGGAGCUCCUGCUGCAUGGUGGGGUUUGGAAAGUUUCGGCGGUUGGGGAUGGACUCGCGGCUUAUCAGCUUGUUGGUGGGGUAGUGGCGUACCAAGGCUUUGACGGGUAGCCGGCCUGAGAGGGUGACCGGCCACAAUGGGACUGAGAUACGGCCCAGACUCCUACGGGAGGCAGCAGUGGGGAAUAUUGCACAAUGGGCGGAAGCCUGAUGCAGCAACGCCGCGUGCGGGAUGACGGCCUUCGGGUUGUAAACCGCUUUCGCCUGUGACGAAGCGUGAGUGACGGUAAUGGGUAAAGAAGCACCGGCUAACUACGUG